UGGGAAAGGAUUUUACAAGACUGCCCUUACUUUUAUGUAAAUGGAACAUAAUAAAAAAAAUGUCUGCUUACAACACUGCAAAUAGGGAAUCUCUGGUUUCUAACAGAGCUUUAACUGUCAAGAGAAAGGGAAGAGCCAAAGAGAAUCGAAGAGGGAAAUUAAUGAAUUAAUAUUUGGGUUGAAAUAGAGAGUGGGUGGCGAUUCAUUGUCGGCAGCUAAGUAUGAAGGGGGUAAUUGAGAACAAGGGAAAAGCAAAGUGAAACAAGUUCUUCAAUGGAGUUCUUCUUCACCUCCGAUUUCUUGAAAUUUCGAGGUGAAUCGGCAUAAGAAACAAAGAAAAAAUUGAAACAGAGCGAAUCGUCAAUAGAGCAUCUUCUCCGCUUCCGAUUUCUUGAUAUUUCGAGGUGAAACGUCAUAAGAAAAAACAGAGCCUCUCUUCCUCUCGCAUGGCUUCGACCUCUGCUCUCGGGAAUAACCGAACACGACCUCAGCGAAGAUGGGAUAUUGGGACGGCCGAUUUGCAGAAGAUGGAGUUCUUCAAUUUAAUAAAUUGGGUCGACCUCUGCUCUCAAGAACAAGUUAUUCAAUGGAAUUCUUCAAUUUACAAUGGAGUUUUUAAUGGAGGAGGGAAGUUGAAGAAGGAGAGGAGAGAGAAGAAGACAGGAUAAAGUGAGGAGAGAGUGUGCUGCCAGAUGGGCGCCCAGUGCUGACGUGGCACGUAAUUAUAAAAACUUCAAGGGCAAUUUAGUCUGAAAUAAGUGAUAUUGAGAGUGAUAAUUACAUAUCUGUUAUGAAUAUUAUAAUUAUGUGUAUGAAUGCCCAUUUGUAACUCCUACCUUUGUAACUUCUAUAUAUUGAACAUGAAAAUGAAUAUCCUAUUUAAGUGUAGUUAUACUAGUGAUGUAUAAGUUAUGAAUUCUAGAGCCUAUAAAUAGUGCUCUCUCUUGUACCAUUUUCACACCUCAAUAAGAAAGUACUUCUCCUCCCAUAUUCUUGUUCUAUUCUUUGUUCUUAGUUUUAUAACACGUUAUCAGCACGAAGUUCCGCCG
rnacentral:lncRNA from 1 species